AGCAGCGUGGCUCAGUGGAAGGAGCACGGGCUUGGGAGUCAGAGGUGAUGGGUUCGAAUCCCAGCUCUGCCA
rfam:Ornithorhynchus anatinus chromosome 4, whole genome shotgun sequence.